rnacentral:rRNA from 1 species
AGAGUUUGAUCCUGGCUCAGAUUGAACGCUGGCGGAAUGCUUUACACAUGCAAGUCGAGCGGCAGCGCGGGGCAACCUGGCGGCGAGCGGCGAACGGGUGAGUAAUGUAUCGGAACGUAUCCUUGAGUGGGGGACAACCAGUCGAAAGACUGGCUAAUACCGCAUACGCAGGAGACUGGAAAGUGGGGGAUCGCAAGACC